CUAUAAGCAAAGGUUGUCACUACAGUGAAGAAUAUGAUUUAAAGAUUUGUGCCCAGACAGUUUUAGCAAUAGCCAAAUCAUUGCAGUUUUUAUUAAAGGGACACUAUAGGACACAUGUUUAUUAAUAUAUUUGCAGCAGCACCUCCCCACACACACAGCACCCACCCCACACACACACACACUGCACCCCCCCACACAGCACCCCACACACACACAGCAGCCCCCACGCACACACAGCACCCCCACACUCAGCACCCCCGCCACACACACAGCACCCACACACAGCACCUCCCCACACCCCCCCCACACACAGAACACCCCUCUCACACACAUGCACAGCACCCCCUCACACACAUACACAGCCAGGGCCGCCAUCAGGGGGGGAUAACCAUAACGGUGCAUAUGCACCGGGGCCCAUCA